rnacentral:rRNA from 1 species
CCUACGGGUGGCAGCAGUGAGGAAUAUUGGGCAAUGGACGAGAGUCUGAACCAGCCAAGUAGCGUGAAGGAUGACAGCCCUACGGGUUGUAAACUUCUUUUAUAUGGGAAUAAAAUGCUCCACGUGUGGGAUUUUGCAUGUACCCUAUGAAUAAGGAUCGGCUAACUCCGUGCCAGCAGCCGCGGUAAUACGGAGGGUCCGAGCGUUAUCCGGAUUUAUUGGGUUUAAAGGGAGCGUAGGUGGGUUGUUAAGUCAGUUGUGAAAGUUUGCGGCUCAACCGUACAAUUGCAGUUGAAACUGGCAGUCUGGAGUACAGUAGAGGUAGGCGGAAUUCGUGGUGUAGCGGUGAAAUGCUUAGAUAUCACGAAGAACUCCGAUUGCGAAGGCAGCUCACUGGACUGCAACUGACGCUGAGGCUCGAAAGUGUGGGUAUCAAACAGGAUUAGAUACCCCAGUAGUC